ACGGUGUCGCGUGUGAGCGGUU
rnacentral:misc_RNA from 1 species